GACGAACGCUGGCGGCAGGCUUAACACAUGCAAGUCGAGCGAGACCUUCGGGUCUAGCGGCGGACGGGGGAGUAACGCGGGGGAACGUGCCCUUCUCUACGGAAUAGCCCCGGGAAACUGGGAGUAAUACCGUAUACGCCCUUUGGGGGUAGGAUUUAUCGGAGCAGGAUCGGCCCGCGUUGGAUUCGGUAGUUGGUGGGGUAAUGGCCCACCAAGCCGACGAUCCAUAGCUGGUGUGAGAGGAUGAUCAGCCACACUGGGACUGAGACACGGCCCAGACUCCUACGGGAAGCAGCAGUGGGGAAUCUUAGACAAUGGGGGCAACCCUGAUCUAGCCAUGCCGCGUGAGUGAUGAAGGCCUUAGGGUUGUAAAGCUCUUUCAGCUGGGAAGAUAAUGACGGUACCAGCAGAAGAAGCCCCGGCUAACUCCGUG
rnacentral:rRNA from 1 species